rnacentral:rRNA from 1 species
UUAAGCGACUAAGCGUACACGGUGGAUGCCCUGGCAGUCAGAGGCGAUGAAGGACGUGCUAAUCUGCGAUAAGCGUCGGUAAGGUGAUAUGAACCGUUAUAACCGGCGAUUUCCGAAUGGGGAAACCCAGUGUGAUUCGUCACACUAUCAUUAACUGAAUCCAUAGGUUAAUGAGGCGAACCGGGGGAACUGAAACAUCUAAGUACCCCGAGGAAAAGAAAUCAACCGAGAUUCCCCCAGUAGCGGCGAGCGAACGGGGAGCAGCCCAGAGCCUGAAUCAGUGUGUGUGUUAGUGGAAGCGUCUGGAAAGGCGCGCGAUACAGGGUGACAGCCCCGUACACAAAAAUGCACAUACUGUGAGCUCGAUGAGUAGGGCGGGACACGUGGUAUCCUGUCUGAAUAUGGGGGGACCAUCCUCCAAGGCUAAAUACUCCUGACUGACCGAUAGUGAACCAGUACCGUGAGGGAAAGGCGAAAAGAACCCCGGCGAGGGGAGUGAAAAAGAACCUGAAACCGUGUACGUACAAGCAGUGGGAGCACAGAGCAAUCUGUGUGACUGCGUACCUUUUGUAUAAUGGGUCAGCGACUUAUAUUCUGUAGCAAGGUUAACCGAAUAGGGGAGCCGAAGGGAAACCGAGUCUUAACUGGGCGUUAAGUUGCAGGGUAUAGACCCGAAACCCGGUGAUCUAGCCAUGGGCAGGUUGAAGGUUGGGUAACACUAACUGGAGGACCGAACCGACUAAUGUUGAAAAAUUAGCGGAUGACUUGUGGCUGGGGGUGAAAGGCCAAUCAAACCGGGAGAUAGCUGGUUCUCCCCGAAAGCUAUUUAGGUAGCGCCUCGUGAAUUCAUCUCCGGGGGUAGAGCACUGUUUCGGCAAGGGGGUCAUCCCGACUUACCAACCCGAUGCAAACUGCGAAUACCGGAGAAUGUUAUCACGGGAGACACACGGCGGGUGCUAACGUCCGUCGUGAAGAGGGAAACAACCCAGACCGCCAGCUAAGGUCCCAAAGUCAUGGUUAAGUGGGAAACGAUGUGGGAAGGCCCAGACAGCCAGGAUGUUGGCUUAGAAGCAGCCAUCAUUUAAAGAAAGCGUAAUAGCUCACUGGUCGAGUCGGCCUGCGCGGAAGAUGUAACGGGGCUAAACCAUGCACCGAAGCUGCGGCAGCGACGCUUAUGCGUUGUUGGGUAGGGGAGCGUUCUGUAAGCCUGUGAAGGUGUACUGUGAGGUAUGCUGGAGGUAUCAGAAGUGCGAAUGCUGACAUAAGUAACGAUAAAGCGGGUGAAAAGCCCGCUCGCCGGAAGACCAAGGGUUCCUGUCCAACGUUAAUCGGGGCAGGGUGAGUCGACCCCUAAGGCGAGGCCGAAAGGCGUAGUCGAUGGGAAACAGGUUAAUAUUCCUGUACUUGGUGUUACUGCGAAGGGGGGACGGAGAAGGCUAUGUUGGCCGGGCGACGGUUGUCCCGGUUUAAGCGUGUAGGCUGGUUUUCCAGGCAAAUCCGGAAAAUCAAGGCUGAGGCGUGAUGACGAGGCACUACGGUGCUGAAGCAACAAAUGCCCUGCUUCCAGGAAAAGCCUCUAAGCAUCAGGUAACAUCAAAUCGUACCCCAAACCGACACAGGUGGUCAGGUAGAGAAUACCAAGGCGCUUGAGAGAACUCGGGUGAAGGAACUAGGCAAAAUGGUGCCGUAACUUCGGGAGAAGGCACGCUGAUAUGUAGGUGAAGUCCCUCGCGGAUGGAGCUGAAAUCAGUCGAAGAUACCAGCUGGCUGCAACUGUUUAUUAAAAACACAGCACUGUGCAAACACGAAAGUGGACGUAUACGGUGUGACGCCUGCCCGGUGCCGGAAGGUUAAUUGAUGGGGUUAGCGCAAGCGAAGCUCUUGAUCGAAGCCCCGGUAAACGGCGGCCGUAACUAUAACGGUCCUAAGGUAGCGAAAUUCCUUGUCGGGUAAGUUCCGACCUGCACGAAUGGCGUAAUGAUGGCCAGGCUGUCUCCACCCGAGACUCAGUGAAAUUGAACUCGCUGUGAAGAUGCAGUGUACCCGCGGCAAGACGGAAAGACCCCGUGAACCUUUACUAUAGCUUGACACUGAACAUUGAGCCUUGAUGUGUAGGAUAGGUGGGAGGCUUUGAAGUGUGGACGCCAGUCUGCAUGGAGCCGACCUUGAAAUACCACCCUUUAAUGUUUGAUGUUCUAACGUUGACCCGUGAUCCGGGUUGCGGACAGUGUCUGGUGGGUAGUUUGACUGGGGCGGUCUCCUCCUAAAGAGUAACGGAGGAGCACGAAGGUUGGCUAAUCCUGGUCGGACAUCAGGAGGUUAGUGCAAUGGCAUAAGCCAGCUUGACUGCGAGCGUGACGGCGCGAGCAGGUGCGAAAGCAGGUCAUAGUGAUCCGGUGGUUCUGAAUGGAAGGGCCAUCGCUCAACGGAUAAAAGGUACUCCGGGGAUAACAGGCUGAUACCGCCCAAGAGUUCAUAUCGACGGCGGUGUUUGGCACCUCGAUGUCGGCUCAUCACAUCCUGGGGCUGAAGUAGGUCCCAAGGGUAUGGCUGUUCGCCAUUUAAAGUGGUACGCGAGCUGGGUUUAGAACGUCGUGAGACAGUUCGGUCCCUAUCUGCCGUGGGCGCUGGAGAACUGAGGGGGGCUGCUCCUAGUACGAGAGGACCGGAGUGGACGCAUCACUGGUGUUCGGGUUGUCAUGCCAAUGGCACUGCCCGGUAGCUAAAUGCGGAAGAGAUAAGUGCUGAAAGCAUCUAAGCACGAAACUUGCCCCGAGAUGAGUUCUCCCUGACUCCUUGAGAGUCCUGAAGGAACGUUGAAGACGACGACGUUGAUAGGCCGGAUGUGUAAGCGCAGCGAUGCGUUGAGCUAACCGGUACUAAUGAACCGUGAGGCUUAACCU